rnacentral:rRNA from 1 species
UACAGAGGUCCCAAGCGUUGUUCGGAUUCACUGGGCGUAAAGGGUGCGUAGGCGGUCGGGUAAGUCUGAUGUGAAAUCUCACAGCUUAACUGUGAAACUGCAUUGGAUACUAUCCGGCUCGAGGAAUGGAGGGGGAGACUGGAAUACUUGGUGUAGCAGUGAAAUGCGUAGAUAUCAAGUGGAACACCAGUGGCGAAGGCGAGUCUCUGGACAUUUCCUGACGCUGAGGCACGAAAGCCAGGGGGAGCAAACGGG